AGGAAGGUGUCACCUUGUCAGUCUGAUUCCACCUCAGCCGGUUAAAUCCUCCGCUCCAUCCCUCUCUGCCCGCUUCUUUCUCACUGCAGCGGCUGCGGGUUUGGUCAAAUGAAGGCGAGCUUCAAGUUUGAAAUCUAGGCUCAAUCCUGCGCGCGCUCCACACCGGCUGCACGAGGAGGACUGACGGCGGAGGGAGGGGGCAGCGCGUGAGCGGUGAAUUUAAAUAAAGACACACCCAGACUCUCCAUCUCCUCUUCCCAUCCGCGCGCUGCAUCAGGACCAGCGUGCAGACAGAACGGCUCAGGUGUGAGAAGCGGCGGACAGCAGGAGGUGGAGGAAUCAUUAUGUGGGGACCAGCAAAAGUCAAAUAAAGCUUCCCUAAGGUUUUAAAAGACUACAUCCACUGCAGAGCCAUAUUGAUCAAACAUCACACGUUCGAGAUGAUCUUCACUGAAUCUCAACAUUUUUGCAUAAUCCUGAAAGAACGAAAAGAUCCAAAUCACCAAAACCAGCGAAGUGGACAAAAGAAUCCAGUGAAAUUCUGAAAAGCAUUUGAAAAUAAAGUCACACUAAAAAGUC